CCCGACGCACGAAGGCCCAACAAACCAGGCUUUGUUGAGGGAGCAGCCUUUGGGAAAGCCCGGAGUUUGCCAUUCAUCAAACCCGAAACUAGGAGAGCCUACUUGCGGUAUAAACAUUUGCGGUAGCCCCGCCUCUCCGCAUUGUACUGUGGGAGCUGCAGUUCUGGACCGUCCAUAGUUUAGACGCCGUAAGGAGGAUAAAACCGAUUAAGAAUCUGAGCGUGUCAAUAUAUGACCACUAUCCACCAAAAUUCUUACGAAGAAUGAAGAAAGCAUAAUUCAAACAUCCAGUCGAUGAUUUUCAUGUGUUACUCCCCUAGGCACUCCUUUGAUCCUCCUAACAGGGUGACUAUCACAGGUGUGAACAUCCACAACCAAACUCUCAUGGAUGGAAUCUUAAUUAUCUUUUGAGAUUAUAAUAUAAUUACAUCAUUUCCCCUUUCUCCUGCUUCCCUCCUCACUCUCCCACAAGCCCCUUCUUGUUGUCUUUCAAAUUCAUGGACUUUUUCAUUAAUUGUUGUUACAUACGUACAUGCCUGAUGUGUGUGUGUGUAUGUGUGUGUUUUUGAAUACAUAAAUACAGUAUACCACUAUAUAAUUGUAUGUAUCUGUUUUGAUGCUAUGUAUUCCAUAUACACAGCUCAAAGGGAUAAAAUUCAGAAUUUGAGACCAAAUUCAAGUGAGUUCAAGGUCAUCGUUCACAACUUAGUAGGAUUCUGUCACAAAAUAACAAUGAAAGAGGAAUGUUACACAGUGGUAAGAUGUCUCCCUUACAAUGUAGGAUCCUCUGAGCUCAGUUAUUAGUUUAGAAAGGGACCUAACAGACAAAACCAUACUGGAAGGUAUAGCAAUCUUUUCUUG
ensembl:lncRNA LOC103693505 uncharacterized LOC103693505